AUUGAACGCUGGCGGCAGGCCUAACACAUGCAAGUCGAGCGGAUGAAGGGAGCUUGCUCCUGGAUUCAGCGGCGGACGGGUGAGUAAUGCCUAGGAAUCUGCCUGGUAGUGGGGGAUAACGUCCGGAAACGGGCGCUAAUACCGCAUACGUCCUGAGGGAGAAAGUGAGGGAUCUUCGGACCUCACGCUAUCAGAUGAGCCUAGGUCGGAUUAGCUAGUUGGUGGGGUAAAGGCCUACCAAGGCGACGAUCCGUAACUGGUCUGAGAGGAUGAUCAGUCACACUGGAACUGAGACACGGUCCAGACUCCUACGGGAGGCAGCAGUGGGGAAUAUUGGACAAUGGGCGAAAGCCUGAUCCAGCCAUGCCGCGUGUGUGAAGAAGGUCUUCGGAUUGUAAAGCACUUUAAGUUGGGAGGAAGGGCAGUAAGUUAAUACCUUGCUGUUUUGACGUUACCAACAGAGUAAGCACCGGCUAACUUCGUG
rnacentral:rRNA from 1 species